UACGGGGGGUGCAAGCGUUAUCCGGAUUCACUGGGUUUAAAGGGUGCGUAGGUGGGUUGGUAAGUCAGUGGUGAAAUCUCCGAGCUUAACUUGGAAACUGCCAUUGAUACUAUCAGUCUUGAAUAUUGUGGAGGUCAGCGGAAUAUGUCAUGUAGCGGUGAAAUGCUUAGAUAUGACAUAGAACACCAAUUGCGAAGGCAGCUGGCUACACAUAUAUUGACACUGAGGCACGAAAGCGUGGGGAUCAAACAGG
rnacentral:rRNA from 1 species